UACGUAGGGUCCGAGCGUUGUCCGGAGUUACUGGGCGUAAAGCGCGCGCAGGCGGUGUCCUAAGCCCGGCGUGAAAGCCCCCGGCUCAACCGGGGAGGGUCGUCGGGGACUGGGACACUUGAGGGCGGCAGGGGCUGGUGGAAUCCCCGGUGUAGUGGUGAAAUGCGUAGAGAUCGGGGGGAACACCCGUGGCGAAGGCGGCCAGCUGGGCCGACCCUGACGCUGAGGCGCGAAGGCGUGGGGAGCGAACGGG
rnacentral:rRNA from 1 species